rnacentral:rRNA from 1 species
UACAGAGGUCUCAAGCGUUGUUCGGAUUCAUUGGGCGUAAAGGGUGUGUAGGUGGCGCCGUAAGUCGGGGUGUGAAAUUUCGGAGCUUAACUCCGAAACUGCAUUCGAUACUGCGUGCUUGAGGACUGGAGAGGAGACUGGAAUUCAUGGUGUAGCAGUGAAAUGCGUAGAGAUCAUGAGGAAGACCAGUGGCGAAGGCGGGGUCUCUGG